UUAAGUAGGCGGAGGAGAAGAAACCAAAAAGGAUUCCCUUGGUAACGGCGAGUGAAUGGGGAGAAGCUCAAACUUCAAAUCAGGCUUGUCCUGACUUGUAAUCACGAAACGCUUUCCAACAGCGAGCGCGGAUGUAAGCCUUUUGGAAAAAAGCACGAGCAAGGGUUAGGGUCCUGCUUGCCAUUCGUAGUCUCCUGUGUACGGUUUGCGUUCUCAGAGUCGUGUUCCUUGGGAUUGGAGCGCAAAGUGGGUGGUACUCUUCACCUAAAGCUGAACAUCUGCUCAAGACCGAUAGCAAACAAGUACCAUGAGGGAAAGAUGAAAAGGACUUUGGAAAGAGAGUUAAGAGUGCAUGAAGUUGCUGGGAGGGAAGUGAACUGAACAAGUUUCGUUGGUGGGAUUGCCGCGUUGGCGCUGGAUGGUGGUGUGCCUCGUGGCGCAUUGCUCUGACAGUGCGAGCGUGGUGUUUCUUGCCAGCAGCGUUGGCCUCUGUGCGGGGAUGAGCAAUUCAGCGUGGGCUCGGGAGUGAAGUUGCGACCUCACGAAAGCCCAUGUGUCGUCUUGCCCCCGGACUGAGCAGAUUGCAAGUGGCAUGUCAGCGAGUUGCUGAUGCUCGCCGUUUUGCAACACCUGACUACAUGGUUUGGUUCGCCCCGUCUUGAAACACGGACCAAGGAGUCUAAUGUGCAUGCGAGUUCUUGGGUUUUACGCACGCCAGCGCAAUGAGAGUGAGUGCUUGGAUUCCUGCACCAGCAACCAACUGAUCGAUUGAGAGAUGUUUGUGGGUGAGCAUGCACGCUAGAACCCGAAAGGUGGUGAACUAUGCCUGAGAAGUGCGAAGUCAGGGGAAACUCUGAUGGAGGCUCGUAGUGAUACUGACGUGCAAAUCGUUCGUCUGACUUGGGUAUAGGGGCGAAAGACUAAUCGAACCAUCUAGUAGCUGGUUCCCUCCGAAGUUUCCCUCAGGAUAGCUGGAGCUGGGCAGUUUUAUCAGGUAAAGCGAAUGACUAGAGGCAUUGGGGGCAUGUUGCCCUUGACCUAUUCUCAAACUUUAAAUGGGUAAGCUCCAAUGGUUGCCUUGGCGAACCAUUGGGAGGAAUGACAGCUCUAAGUGGGCCAUUUUUGGUAAGCAGAACUGGCGAUGAGGGAUGAACCUAACGUUGGGGUAAAGUGCUAGACUGCUCGCUCAUGAGAUACCACAAAGGGUGUUGGUUCAUACAAACAGCAGGACGGUGGUCAUGGAAGUCGAAAUCCGCUAAGGAGUGUGUAACAACUCACCUGCCGAAUGGACUAGCCCCGAAAAUGGAUGGCGCUUCAGCGAGUGACUCAUCCCCGACCAUCGUCGCAAACACAGCUUCGAUGAGUAGGAGGGCGUGGUGGUUGUAGCGAAGCCUCCGCGUGAGCGAAGGUGAAGGAGCCCUAGUGCA
rnacentral:rRNA from 1 species